AGAAAGUGUCCUAGGAAGGACAGAUGUCAUGUGAUGACAUGACGUCCUUAGAUUUGUGUCGAGUUUUUAGAAGUAGCGUAUGAUACCGAAGCUUGUUUCCUUCUCCCUUGCAUAUAUAAUAAGUUCAGUUCAUGUAUUAAUGCCACUUGUUUUUCGUCUGCUGCAAUUUUUUCUUUCUCCGCAAUCUCUAGUGUUGGAUCCUACAGGCAUAAUGGGUCGUUUAAGUCGGACUAUCUAUGUGGGCAAUCUUCCUGGUGAUAUUCGUGAGAGAGAAGUAGAAGAUUUGUUUUACAAGUAUGGGCAUAUCGUGGAAAUUGAUUUGAAAGUUCCUCCUAGACCACCUGGUUAUGCAUUUGUAGAGUUUGAAGAUUCUCGUGAUGCUGAUGAUGCCAUCCGUGGGCGCGAUGGCUAUGACUUUGAUGGACAUCGAUUACGAGUUGAACUUGCUCACGGUGGGCAAGGAUCAUCAUCAUAUGAUCGCCAUAGCAGUUACAGUAGUGGGAGUCGUGGUGGAGUUUCUAGGCGCUCAGACCAUCGCGUUCUGAUAUCUGGACUACCAUCUUCUGCUUCAUGGCAAGACUUGAAGGAUCACAUGCGCCGAGCAGGAGAUGUCUGUUUCUCUCAAGUUUUUCGAGACCGUGACGGUAUGAGGGGAAUUGUGGACUAUACCAGCUAUGAAGAUAUGAAAUAUGCGAUAAGGAAACUUGAUGACUCUCUCUUUCGCAAUCAGUUCUCUCGAGCGUAUAUUAGGGUCUGUUCCCUGUCAGUAGCAGAAAUCCUGGAUCCAAUGUUGUGUUUAUGCAUUAGUUUAACCCAGUUAUCUACUCUUAAGGUGGAGGAGUAUGAUAAGAGACGUAGAUAUUCCAGGAGCCCAAGUCCAUAUUAUUCAAGAGGCAGAAGUUACUCAAGAAGCAGGAGUCCUCGACGGAGCUAUAGCAGCCAGAGCAGAAGUGUGUCUCCUAGGGGUAAAUACUCUCGUCGUUCCGCGUCUGUCUCGCGCUCAAGGUCUUUUUCCCCUGCUCGCUCUGUUUCUAGAUCUUGCAUUUCGUGGCGAUCUGGGGAUUGCUUUUUAGGCAGGUGAUGUCCAAUGGUGCUCAAAUUCAGGCAACUCGCUUGGAUGUGGCAGUAAUCUGUUUUAGUGGAUGAGCACCUCUGGUAAACUCAGGAUGGUAAACUGUAUUUUAAUAUGUUAUUAAGGUGGAUCUUACUCAAAGCAAUAUAUCAAAUUGUUUUUGGGCUAAUCCCGAGGGCUCUGAACGUGGGAGCACUAUUGAAUAGUCAAAUAAAAAUUUAAUUUGUUUUUUAGAGCGUGCGGGGCGGUGCAUGCAUUUGUAUGGUAUGACCUCAUAACUUGGACGGACAAUCUCCAGGAAGUGCGUUGCGAUUGGUUUUUGUUUCAAUUUGAUCAUGUUGGUUGAUUGAUAUUAUAGAUUGCUGGCAGCUGUUGCUAACUACUUUGAUUGUGGACGUGGAAGUAGCAUGGAUUCAUUUGGAUCAAAGAUCUCAAUCACGAUCCAGAUCUCCACUGUCACCUCCACAUCGUAGGAAGCAUGCAAGGAUCUCAAGCAGGAGUCGGAGCAUGAGCCUAUCUU